rnacentral:rRNA from 1 species
AGUGAACGCUGGCGGUAGGCCUAACACAUGCAAGUCGAACGGCAGCACAGUAAGAGCUUGCUCUUACGGGUGGCGAGUGGCGGACGGGUGAGGAAUACAUCGGAAUCUACUUUUUCGUGGGGGAUAACGUAGGGAAACUUACGCUAAUACCGCAUACGACCUACGGGUGAAAGCAGGGGAUCUUCGGACCUUGCGCGAUUGAAUGAGCCGAUGUCGGAUUGGCUAGUUGGCGGGGUAAAGGCCCACCAAGGCGACGAUCCGUAGCGGGUCUGAGAGGAUGUUGCGCCACCCGGAACUUGAGACCCGUCCCAGCCUCCUAGGGGGGGCAGAUGUGGGAACUUUUGGAAAGUGGGCGCAACCCUGCUCCAGCCAUACCGCGUGGGUGAAGAAGGCCUUCGGGUUGUAAAGCCCUUUUGUUGGGAAAGAAAAGCAGCAGGUUAAUACCCCGCUGUUCUGCGGGUCCCCAAAGGAUAGGCACCGCCUACUUCCGU